rnacentral:lncRNA from 1 species
GGGUUUGAUCUGGGUUUGAUGCGAUGAUUACGGAUAGGAUUUCUGAUGGACCUAGAUAUGCAUAUUUAAGGUAUUCAGGGAGUGUUUUGAGUUUUAGUUUUAGUGCUUCCUCAAUCGAUGGCUUGUGUAUUGGUUCAUUCAUCCUUACAAGUGGUUUGACAGGUAGUUGCCAUUGUGGAUGAACUCUCUGAUCACUAGAUGAAAAAAUUUUAUAAGCUAUUUCAGAUUUUUGAUCUGAUCAGAGAUUACAGUCAAAAUCUUCUUUUCCUAGGUCAAUGAUCUCAUAGAUCUCAUCCUGAAUUAGGUUUACGUCAACGAAUUGAUCUCUUUUAUUUUCAAGAUUGAAAAUAUUAUG